AUGCUACUCCCUCCGUUUCGAAUUACUUGUCGCACGUAUGGAUGUAUCUAGAUGUAUUUUAGUUCUAGAUACAUCCAUUUCUGCGACGAGUAAUUUGGAACGGAGGGAGUACUUC
rnacentral:pre_miRNA from 1 species